UCCGUGAUCGUUAGAUCGGCCCAG
rnacentral:miRNA from 1 species